rnacentral:rRNA from 1 species
CAGUCGCCGCGGUAAUACGUAGGUGGCAAGCGUUGUCCGGAAUUAUUGGGCGUAAAGGGCUCGCAGGCGGUUUCUUAAGUCUGAUGUGAAAGCCCCCGGCUCAACCGGGGAGGGUCAUUGGAAACUGGGAAACUUGAGUGCAGAAGAGGAGAGUGGAAUUCCACGUGUAGCGGUGAAAUGCGUAGAGAUGUGGAGGAACACCAGUGGCGAAGGCGACUCUCUGGUCUGUAACUGACGCUGAGGAGCGAAAGCGUGGGGAGCAAACAGGAUUAGAUACCCGAGUAGUCCCUGUCUCUUAUAC